rnacentral:ncRNA from 1 species
CAAUGGCCGGUACAGCGGGCUGCGACGCCGCGAGGCGGAGCGAAUCCCACAAAGCCGGCCCCAGUUCGGACCGCAGGCUGCAACCCGCCUGCGCGAAGCCGGAGUUGCUAGUAAUCGCGGAUCAGCAUGCCGCGGUGAAUACGUUCCCGGGCCUUGUACACACCGCCCGUCACACCACCCGAGUCGUCUGCACCCGAAGCCGCCGGCCGAACCCGCAAGGGGCGGAGGCGUCGAAGGUGUGGAGGGUGAGGGGGGUGAAGUCGUAACAAGGUAGCCGUACCGGAAGGUGCGGCUGGAUCACCUCCUUU